CCUACGGGUGGCAGCAGUAGGGAAUAUUGCUCAAUGGGGGAAACCCUGAAGCAGCAACGCCGCGUGGAGGAUGAAGGUUUUCGGAUUGUAAACUCCUUUUGUUAGAGAAGAUAAUGACGGUAUCUAACGAAUAAGCACCGGCUAACUCCGAGCCAGCAGCCGCGGUAAUCCGGCGGGUGCAAGCGUUACUCGGAAUCACUGGGCGUAAAGAGCGCGUAGGGGGGAUGGCAAGUCAGAUGUGAAAUCCUAUGGCUUAACCAUAGAACUGCAUUUGAAACUGUUAUUCUAGAGUAGGGGAGAGGUAGGUGGAAUUCUUGGUGUAGGGGUAAAAUCCGUAGAGAUCAAGAGGAAUACUCAGUGCGAAGGCGACCUGCUAGAACAUAACUGACGCGGAUGCGCGAAAGCGUGGGGAGCAAACAGGAUUAGAUACCCUGGUAGUC
rnacentral:rRNA from 1 species